rnacentral:rRNA from 1 species
UACGUAGGGCGCAAGCGUUGUUCGGAAUUACUGGGCGUAAAGGGCUCGUAGGCGGCCAACUAAGUCGGACGUGAAAUCCCUCGGCUUAACCGGGGAACUGCGUCCGAUACUGGAUGGCUUGAGUUUGGGAGAGGGAUGCGGAAUUCCAGGUGUAGCGGUGAAAUGCGUAGAUAUCUGGAGGAACACCGGUGGCGAAGGCGGCAUCCUGGACCAACACUGACGCUGAGGAGCGAAAGCCAGGGGAGCAAACGGG